AGAGUUUGAUCAUGGCUCAGAUUGAACGCUGGCGGCAGGCCUAACACAUGCAAGUCGAACGGUAACAGGAAGCAGCUUGCUGCUUCGCUGACGAGUGGCGGACGGGUGAGUAAUGUCUGGGAAGCUGCCUGAUGGAGGGGGAUAACUACUGGAAACGGUAGCUAAUACCGCAUAAUGUCGCAAGACCAAAGAGGGGGACCUUCGGGCCUCUUGCCAUCGGAUGUGCCCAGAUGGGAUUAGCUUGUUGGUGGGGUAACGGCUCACCAAGGCGACGAUCCCUAGCUGGUCUGAGAGGAUGACCAGCCACACUGGAACUGAGACACGGUCCAGACUCCUACGGGAGGCAGCAGUGGGGAAUAUUGCACAAUGGGCGCAAGCCUGAUGCAGCCAUGCCGCGUGUAUGAAGAAGGCCUUCGGGUUGUAAAGUACUUUCAGCGGGGAGGAAGGGAGUAAAGUUAAUACCUUUGCUCAUUGACGUUACCCGCAGAAGAAGCACCGGCUAACUCCGUGCCAGCAGCCGCGGUAAUACGGAGGGUGCAAGCGUUAAUCGGAAUUACUGGGCGUAAAGCGCACGCAGGCGGUUUGUUAAGUCAGAUGUGAAAUCCCCGGGCUCAACCUGGGAACUGCAUCUGAUACUGGCAAGCUUGAGUCUCGUAGAGGGGGGUAGAAUUCCAGGUGUAGCGGUGAAAUGCGUAGAGAUCUGGAGGAAUACCGGUGGCGAAGGCGGCCCCCUGGACGAAGACUGACGCUCAGGUGCGAAAGCGUGGGGAGCAAACAGGAUUAGAUACCCUGGUAGUCCACGCCGUAAACGAUGUCGACUUGGAGGUUGUGCCCUUGAGGCGUGGCUUCCGGAGCUAACGCGUUAAGUCGACCGCCUGGGGAGUACGGCCGCAAGGUUAAAACUCAAAUGAAUUGACGGGGGCCCGCACAAGCGGUGGAGCAUGUGGUUUAAUUCGAUGCAACGCGAAGAACCUUACCUGGUCUUGACAUCCACGGAAGUUUUCAUAGAUGAGAAUGUGCCUUCGGGAACCGUGAGACAGGUGCUGCAUGGCUGUCGUCAGCUCGUGUUGUGAAAUGUUGGGUUAAGUCCCGCAACGAGCGCAACCCUUAUCCUUUGUUGCCAGCGGUCCGGCCGGGAACUCAAAGGAGACUGCCAGUGAUAAACUGGAGGAAGGUGGGGAUGACGUCAAGUCAUCAUGGCCCUUACGACCAGGGCUACACACGUGCUACAAUGGCGCAUACAAAGAGAAGCGACCUCGCGAGAGCAAGCGGACCUCAUAAAGUGCGUCGUAGUCCGGAUUGGAGUCUGCAACUCGACUCCAUGAAGUCGGAAUCGCUAGUAAUCGUGGAUCAGAAUGCCACGGUGAAUACGUUCCCGGGCCUUGUACACACCGCCCGUCACACCAUGGGAGUGGGUUGCAAAAGAAGUAGGUAGCUUAACCUUCGGGAGGGCGCUUACCACUUUGUGAUUCAUGACUGGGGUGAAGUCGUAACAAGGUA
rnacentral:rRNA from 1 species